rnacentral:lncRNA from 1 species
GUUGUUAUUUUUUUGGAAACCAGAUCAACCCUUUAUUCACUAGAUGACAGUUUCCAAGGGCUGCUCCUACCAUUACCAUAGAGGAUCUGAGGGACACCUGCAUGGCCCAUUACCACCAAUUUAACCAAACUCAUCCAAUUGUCAGAGAGUGUGUCAGGAAUGGGGCUAUAAACCUAGUGUCCCGUGUUCUUGCACAACUGCUUGGAAGGCUGUUUGGAAAACGGAAUUCUGUGGGCAUUAGAAACAAUUUCCUUAAACUACAGCAGGGAACCCAAACACACUUCAGACUUCAGUUUUAAAUAAUGAUAAAGUGAGCCAUCUAAAAAUCACUACCUAACUCCUCUAAAAGCCCAAUGCAUAUAUCCUGGGGGGGGCGGAACCUGGCAGUUCCUGUGACUUGACACUCUUGGCUCCUCCCUCCACCCUUCUACCUGGUGAAAGCUCAAACUAUUAAGACAGAUGAAUAUCUAGCAGAUUUACAGAUUUAAUUAGUAUUCCCUCUACUCUACUCUAUGUAAAUGAGAAGAGUUGCUACCAGAUUGUGCUCUGUGAAGGAACAGAUCCCCAGCUCACCACUGAUGCGCACUCAUCCAGUGCAGAUGUGUGAAGCAAAAACUGAGUGGGAGCGAACAAUAUGUUGCUAGGAUUCAUGCCCAUUGCUGUCGUGGUCACAGCCACCAGCGAAGGUGUCAGUUGUCCCACCAAGCUAGGUUUAAACUCCUCACAAGGAGCAGAUGCUCAACAAAACGGAAGGAAAGGAAGCCACAGCGGACCAAAUCUCUUGCCUCACUUGGUACCAGCUCAUGACUUUUCAGGGUGCUGGCCUUUGACUUCCACCCAGGCCAGAACAAGACACAGAAGAGAAUACGACUUAUCUUGUGGCUAAAAUGCAGUGCCUUCCUACUCUCAGCUCAUCCCCAUUUCUACGUGGACCUGGGGGCCACCUACUGAAGAAAGAGCUCAGGUGAGCCAAGAAGACAACCAAAUGGAAAACACCGCAGAACUUCCACCGUGAGGACCAAUGGGGGAACCUGCAGAUUUGCUCCUGGAAGAGAGUUUGUACCUAAUCAAGGUGCACUGUUCACCAAGGGGUAAGAGCAGAGCAAAACACAUGCUGCCAUAUGGGGGAAUUGAAAUAAAUAGGAAGGGAAGUCCAAGUUGUCCUUAUCCAGCCCUUUCUCCCAGAUUCACAAAUUGAAUAAAUGACUCUCUCUUCCUUGAAUAGAAGUUUGUGAAAGAGAAAUAAACUGAGAAACCCCCUCCUUACCAGGAAUUAUUCGGAAAAUGUUCUGCCUACAAUGAGAGAUGAUAGAAAAAAAUUAAAGGCA